AGCUUUGCACAGUGGCAGUAUUGUAGCCAGUAAGGUUUAUCCGAGGCGUGAUUAUUGCUAAUUGAAAACUUUUCCUAAUACCUCACCAUGACGACUUGAAAUAGUUGGUAUUGGUAAUUUUUGACAGUCGCUAUGGAGA
rnacentral:snRNA from 1 species